CGGGGUGAGUAACGCGUGGAUAACCUGCCGUAUGCAGGGGGAUACCAACUGGAAACAGUUGCUAAUACCGCAUAAGCUGAUAGAACCGCAUGGUUUAGUCAGAAAAGGAGCAAUCCGCUUGUAGAUGGGCUCGCGUCCGAUUAGCUAGUUGGUGAGGUAAAGGCUUACCAAGGCGACGAUCGGUAGCCGGACUGAGAGGUUGAACGGCCACAUUGGGACUGAGAUACGGCCCAGACUCCUACGGAAGGCAGCAG
rnacentral:rRNA from 1 species